rnacentral:rRNA from 1 species
UGGGGUGACUGCGUACCUUUUGUAUAAUGGGUCAGCGACUUAUAUUCUGUAGCAAGGUUAACCGUAUAGGGGAGCCGAAGGGAAACCGAGUCUUAACUGGGCGUUAAGUUGCAGGGUAUAGACCCGAAACCCGGUGAUCUAGCCAUGGGCAGGUUGAAGGUUGGGUAACACUAACUGGAGGACCGAACCGACUAAUGUUGAAAAAUUAGCGGAUGACCUGUGGCUGGGGGUGAAAGGCCAAUCAAACCGGGAGAUAGCUGGUUCUCCCCGAAAGCUAUUUAGGUAGCGCCUCGUGAACUCAUCUUCGGGGGUAGAGCACUGUUUCGGCUAGGGGGCCAUCCCGGCUUACCAACCCGAUGCAAACUACGAAUACCGAAGAAUGUUAUCACGGGAGACACACGGCGGGUGCUAACGUCCGUCGUGAAGAGGGAAACAACCCAGACCGCCAGCUAAGGUCCCAAAGUCAUGGUUAAGUGGGAAACGAUGUGGGAAGGCACAGACAGCCAGGAUGUUGGCUUAGAAGCAGCCAUCAUUUAAAGAAAGCGUAAUAGCUCACUGGUCGAGUCGGCCUGCGCGGAAGAUGUAACGGGGCUAAACCAUGCACCGAAGCUGCGGCAGCGACACUAUGUGUUGUUGGGUAGGGGAGCGUUCUGUAAGCCGUUGAAGGUGUGCUGUGAGGCAUGCUGGAGGUAUCAGAAGUGCGAAUGCUGACAUAAGUAACGAUAAAGCGGGUGAAAAGCCCGCUCGCCGGAAGACCAAGGGUUCCUGUCCAACGUUAAUCGGGGCAGGGUGAGUCGACCCCUAAGGCGAGGCCGAAAGGCGUAGUCGAUGGGAAACAGGUUAAUAUUCCUGUACUUGGUGUUACUGCGAAGGGGGGACGGAGAAGGCUAUGUCAGCCGGGCGACGGUUGUCCCGGUUUAAGCAUGUAGGCGGAGGU